rnacentral:snRNA from 1 species
GCGCUCACUUAGGCAGCAUAUAUACAAAAAAAUUGGAAAUCAUACAGAGAUUAGCAUGGCCCCUGUGCAAGGAUGACUUGCAAAUAUGUUUAGUGUUCCGUAUUUUU